rnacentral:rRNA from 2 species
GAGUUUGAUCGUGGCUCAGGACGAACGCUGGCGGCGUGCUUAACACAUGCAAGUCAAGGGGGCCCGCAAGGGUAACCGGCGAACGGGUGCGUAACACGUGAGCAAUCUGCCUAGAUGUGGGGGAUAGCCGGCCCAACGGCCGGGUAAUACCGCAUACGCUCUCCGGGUGGCAUCACCUGGUGAGGAAACAUUCGUGGCAUCUAGAGGAGCUCGCGGCCUAUCAGCUAGUUGGUGGGGUAACGGCCUACCAAGGCUUUGACGGGUAGCUGGUCUGAGAGGAUGGCCAGCCACAUUGGGACUGAGAUACGGCCCAGACUCCUACGGGAGGCAGCAGUGGGGAAUAUUGCGCAAUGGCCGAAAGGCUGACGCAGCGACGCCGCGUGGGGGAUGAAGCAUUUCGGUGUGUAAACCCCUGUUGCCCGGGACGAACAACUGGUUUCGACCAGUCUGACGGUACCGGGUGAGGAAGCACCGGCUAACUCCGUGCCAGCCGCCGCAGUAAU